GAAGGUGUGUCGUGAGGCAUGCUGGAGGUAUCAGAAGUGCGAAUGCUGACAUAAGUAACGAUAAAGCGGGUGAAAAGCCCGCUCGCCGGAAGACCAAGGGUUCCUGUCCAACGUUAAUCGGGGCAGGGUGAGUCGACCCCUAAGGCGAGGCCGAAAGGCGUAGUCGAUGGGAAACGGGUUAAUAUUCCCGUACUUGGUGUUACUGCGAAGGGGGGACGGAGAAGGCUAUGUUGGCCGGGCGACGGUUGUCCCGGUUUAAGCGUGUAGGUGUGUGUUCCAGGUAAAUCCGGUUCACUUUAACACUGAGGCGUGAUGACGAGGCACUACGGUGCUGAAGCAACAAAUGCCCUGCUUCCAGGAAAAGCCUCUAAGCAUCAGGUA
rnacentral:rRNA from 1 species